GUGCUUACUUUGGCAGUACAUAUACUAAAAUUGGAAUGAUAUAGAGAAGGUUAGCAUGGCCCACGCACAAGGAUGACAUGCAAAUUCUUGACCAUUCCAUAUAGUU
ensembl:snRNA U6 U6 spliceosomal RNA